UUGUCCGGCCCGUCUUUGCGCGCGCGGGCCAAAAACUUAGCGCCAAGCCUCCUUCCUAUUUUUUCAUUCGGCCUUCGAUAGGUGCCACGAGCCCACGACCAAAUCCAAAUCCCCCAAACCUAAAUCCUCUCACGCAGUCCCUCCGCCGCCGCCCGCUAGCUAGCCGCCCGCACGCCGCCGACCGCCCACCGUCUCCACCACGCCGUCACCUGUCUCCUUCAUCCUCCUGCACCCCCACUGCUUAGGCCCCAAACACUACUAACCCUGCGCUAGAGUUCGGGGAGAGGCCAAGGCGCGGUGGUGGACGCCGCCAUCCCUCUCAGAUCCGGGGCUGAGAGAGGGAGGGGGGAGGGAGAGGUGGGUCACCUGCGAGAGAGAUCACUCGCGCCCUCGCUCGUCAGUCGUCACCCAGGGGCCGCCACCACCGCCACCAUGCCAUGGGCUUCCUCCGAUCUGCGUUCGCCGGUUCGUUCGAAGAAGGAUCUGGUCGUUGACUGCUGGUGAUUCCCCUCCCACCGGUGAUCAGCCAUGACUUGGAAUAGUACUUCUAUCCAGCAAGCAUCGUUUUGGAUGUGAGCUCGAGCUCAAGCAACAAGCAGAGCAUCAAAAACAGGGGCUCUAUCUGCUAAUGGGGUAGCCGGCAAUGCAGUCUAAGAGGUACAUCUCGUGUGAUUUCUGGAUAUGAGAACUUGAGAAGAACAAGCUUGAUGCUAUUACUGAAAAAAAGAAUCUAUGCUACAGGUACUGGCAGUCUGAUGCCUUCAGAAUUGGCUCUCAAAACUUUCAACCAAGAUUAGAGCUAGCGUGCAGUUUGCAGUUUAUAGUCAUACUCAUACUCAAUGAGUCCCUAUCUCGGCUUCUGGGCAAGAUAUUCUUUACUUUUAGCAACCACUAUUGUUCAGGAAUUUUGAGUGGCGCACAUCCUGGUAUGGUGAGAGGCAAGCCGACGACCGGACAUCAUUUGUCAAGCUGAUAUUUGUCCAGCCAUUCCAGUCGUCAAGCGCCUUGCCGCUUCACAGGGCGUGCUGCAUCGCACAGCAUCGCGGCUUCACACCGCCAUCGGCAUCUCACCAUGCGCGCCGCAUCGCACGGCAGCCCGGAAGCAAACAGAACGACUACACUCACAAGGAACCAUGAAGCCAACGAUCCACGUCAACUAGAUGUUUUAGCUUUCAUUUUGUACAACUGAUGUCUCAUACUUGCAUCUUUUGGCUGUCCUUUUGUAAACCUGAUGUAUGGUGUCUCAGUGGUUUUGUUUAGAACAGAUUGAAAUGUAUGUAUGUGUCAAUUACUUAAUGGAAUAAAAAAUGUUUGAUGGUCC